AGAACUGAGACACGGUCCAGACUCCUACGGGAGGCAGCAGUCGGGAAUCUUGGACAAUGGGGGAAACCCUGAUCCAGCGACGCCGCGUGCAGGAUGAAGUCCUUCGGGAUGUAAACUGCUGUCGGGCGGGAAGAACGUCUUUUGGGCUAAUACCCCGAGAGAGUGACGGUACCGCCGAAGGAAGCACCGGCUAACUCUGUGCCAGCAGCCGCGGUAAUACAGAGGGUGCAAGCGUUGUUCGGAUUGACUGGGCGUAAAGGGCGCGUAGGUGGUUAGGUAAGUCCGAUGUGAAAUCAACAUCGCUUAACGGGUUGUCCGCAUCGGAAACUGUCUAACUUGAGUAUUGGAGAGGAUAACGGAAUUCCUGGUGUAGCGGUGGAAUGUGUAGAGAUCAGGAGGAACACCUGUGGCGAAGGCGGUUAUCUGGCCAAAUACUGACACUGAGGCGCGAAAGCUAGGGGAGCAAACGGGAUUAGAUACCCCGGUAGUCCUAGCCGUAAACGUUGGAUACUAGGUGUGGGAGGUAUCGACCCCUUCCGUGCCGCAGCAAACGCAUUAAGUAUCCCGCCUGGGGAGUACGGUCGCAAGACUGAAACUCAAAAGAAUUGACGGGGGCCCGCACAAGCGGUGGAGUAUGUGGUUCAAUUCGACGCAACGCGAAGAACCUUACCAGGGUUUGACAUGUAGGUAGUAGAAGUCUGAAAGGAUAACGAUCCUGUAGUAAUACAGGAAGCUUACACAGGUGCUGCAUGGCUGUCGUCAGCUCGUGUCGUGAGAUGUUGGGUUAAGUCCCGCAACGAGCGCAACCCUUACACUUAGUUGCCACCAGGCCGCAAGGCGCUGAGCACUCUAAGAGAACUGCCCUGUAUAACGGGGAGGAAGGUGGGGAUGACGUCAAGUCCUCAUGGCCUUUAUACCCUGGGCCACACACGUACUACAAUGGCCGGUACAACGAGUCGCCAACCCGCGAGGGGGAGCUAAUCUCUUAAAACCGGCCCCAGUUCAGAUUGGAGGCUGCAAUUCGCCUCCAUGAAGUUGGAAUCGCUAGUAAUCGCGGAUCAGCUAUGCCGCGGUGAAUACGUUCCCGGGCCUUGUACACACCGCCCGUCACAUCACGAAAGCCUGCUGUACCAGAAAUCGGUGAGUUAACCCGCAAGGGGGACAGCCGCUCAAGGUAUGGCCGGUGAUUGGGGUGAAGUCGUAACAAGGUA
rnacentral:rRNA from 1 species